rnacentral:rRNA from 1 species
CGUCGAUGAAGAGUGCAGCUAACUGUGUGAAUUAAUGUGAACUGCAUACUGCUUUGAAUAUCGACAUCUUGAACGCAUAUUGCGGCUACGGGGUAUCUCGUGGCCACGUCUGUUCGAGGGUUG